CAAGACAACUUUACGGAGUUGACGAUUGACGGAGCGAAGCGACGUCAAAGCGUUCAUUAAAGUCGAGUUGGCUUAGGGAUACGUUCGUUGGGUAGGGGAGCGUUCUGUAAGCCUGUGAAGGUGUGUCGUGAGGCAUGCUGGAGGUAUCAGAAGUGCGAAUGCUGACAUAAGUAACGAUAAAGCGGGUGAAAAGCCCGCUCGCCGGAAGACCAAGGGUUCCUGUCCAACGUUAAUCGGGGCAGGGUGAGUCGACCCCUAAGGCGAGGCCGAAAGGCGUAGUCGAUGGGAAACGGGUUAAUAUUCCCGUACUUGGUGUUACUGCGAAGGGGGGACGGAGAAGGCUAUGUUGGCCGGGCGACGGUUGUCCCGGUUUAAGCGUGUAGGUGUGUGUUCCAGGUAAAUCCGGUUCACUUUAACACUGAGGCGUGAUGACGAGGCACUACGGUGCUGAAGCAACAAAUGCCCUGCUUCCAGGAAAAGCCUCUAAGCAUCAGGUAACAUCAAAUCGUACCCCAAACCGACACAGGUGGUCAGGUAGAGAAUACCAAGGCGCUUGAGAGAACUCGGGUGAAGGAACUAGGCAAAAUGGUGCCGUAACUUCGGGAGAAGGCACGCUGACACGUAGGUGAAGUGAUUUACUCACGGAGCUGAAGUCAGUCGAAGAUACCAGCUGGCUGCAACUGUUUAUUAAAAACACAGCACUGUGCAAACACGAAAGUGGACGUAUACGGUGUGACGCCUGCCCGGUGCCGGAAGGUUAAUUGAUGGGGUCAGCGCAAGCGAAGCUCCUGAUCGAAGCCCCGGUAAACGGCGGCCGUAACUAUAACGGUCCUAAGGUAGCGAAAUUCCUUGUCGGGUAAGUUCCGACCUGCACGAAUGGCGUAAUGAUGGCCAGGCUGUCUCCACCCGAGACUCAGUGAAAUUGAACUCGCUGUGAAGAUGCAGUGUACCCGCGGCAAGACGGAAAGACCCCGUGAACCUUUACUAUAGCUUGACACUGAACAUUGAGCCUUGAUGUGUAGGAUAGGUGGGAGGCUUUGAAGUGUGGACGCCAGUCUGCAUGGAGCCGACCUUGAAAUACCACCCUUUAAUGUUUGAUGUUCUAACGUGGACCCGUAAUCCGGGUUGCGGACAGUGUCUGGUGGGUAGUUUGACUGGGGCGGUCUCCUCCUAAAGAGUAACGGAGGAGCACGAAGGUUGGCUAAUCCUGGUCGGACAUCAGGAGGUUAGUGCAAUGGCAUAAGCCAGCUUGACUGCGAGCGUGACGGCGCGAGCAGGUGCGAAAGCAGGUCAUAGUGAUCCGGUGGUUCUGAAUGGAAGGGCCAUCGCUCAACGGAUAAAAGGUACUCCGGGGAUAACAGGCUGAUACCGCCCAAGAGUUCAUAUCGACGGCGGUGUUUGGCACCUCGAUGUCGGCUCAUCACAUCCUGGGGCUGAAGUAGGUCCCAAGGGUAUGGCUGUUCGCCAUUUAAAGUGGUACGCGAGCUGGGUUUAGAACGUCGUGAGACAGUUCGGUCCCUAUCUGCCGUGGGCGCUGGAGAACUGAGGGGGGCUGCUCCUAGUACGAGAGGACCGGAGUGGACGCAUCACUGGUGUUCGGGUUGUCAUGCCAAUGGCACUGCCCGGUAGCUAAAUGCGGAAGAGAUAAGUGCUGAAAGCAUCUAAGCACGAAACUUGCCCCGAG
rnacentral:rRNA from 1 species